UUAGUUCUUUUUAGCAGAAACGCUAAAGCAAUUUUGACAGAUUCGGAAUUUCUCAAUGUAUCAUGGAUGUACAGUAAUAUUGGUUUUUUCGGAACUUAAUUAUUUCUAUCCAAUUAUUGUGCCAGAAUGAUGGUUGGAUUCUCUCUCUCUCCAAUGCAUUUCUCAUUAAAUAUCCAUUGUUUUCUUCUUCUUUCUUUUGCCUACGGGUGAACGGUGGUGCAUGCGAGGAACUGAGGAUGGAUAUAGUAGUGCUGCAGCCUGCAAAUUAAAUGUGAGAAGUCGUGGAAAGGUUAAUUGACCUUGUGCUGAUGCAGUUCAGAUGAAACCUCAUGCUUUUGUCGCCAGUUAAUUUUGUAAGCUCUAAAAAGAAGGAAAGAGAGGCAAAAUUUAACAAGAAGCUGAGGGAAGCUAGCUACAGCCUAUAAACAGCUACUUUGUUUCUCUUUCAUUGUUGCUUUAUUGCGGUUGAAGUUACAGCUAAGGCCAAAGCUGCCAUAAAUGGGAAAGAUGAGCUUAUAAGCAAUGUAAUAAAUUAAGAAAGAACAGAAGGGGACAAUUGAGGAUUUUUAUAAAGCACGCAAGGGGUUGUUGGUCAAAAAGAUUGAAGGGUUGAGGCGCCGCUUCUGCUUUUCCACCGAUCCGAAUUUAUAAUGAGUGUUUGUAUGCUAGGAUUGAAGAAAUUGACCUCUAUUAAUUUCUUUAUUGGGCAUUGAUGGAGACAAAUGAAAUGCUGAUUAUUUUAUCAUCCUUACCUAACCCUAAAAAGAGGGUUCUAAAUUCCUUGAGCGUCAAACUAACCCAUUUCAUGUGUAGUGUAAACGAGAGAGACAGCCAGCUGGUUCCCAAUUUUCUAUCAAUUUAUAAUGUUUGAAUUAGGAACCGAUAUGUUCUUGCAUUGCAAGCCAUUGGUUUGGUAUUAUAUGUUUUUUUUUUUUUCUUUCCUUCUUCUAUUAUAAAUGAAGAGUUGUCCAACAAUUUCUUCUUUUCAAGGAUUCUGUUGUGCUCUAUGGUUUAUGUUUGAAUCCCACUAGCUCAAGUAUUGAGCUUCACCCCCUCGAUUAUGAUGGUAUUCUCCGUGUAUCAACAUUUUCAAAGCGUACAGAUAUUCUCCUCUACAACAGUGUCUUCCCUGGGGCUUCUCAAAUCGAGGGUUUUUGUUUUUUGCAUUUUUCACAUAUCCAUGCAUUACCCCCUCCCCCCCACACACACAAAUCGGUGGCCGAUUAUUAUAAAUAAAAUUAUUGACUUACAUUUUGGUAUUGUUCCUUAUAAUGUGAUUACCUAUUCAUUUAU